UUUCUUUUUUUUUUGUCAAAGUUAAAUAUUGAAUUUGGAGAACCAUAUUUACCAGCUGCUACAAAUGCAAAAUAAGUGGUUAUUUUUACUCAUAUUUGCACAAACAUUGAAUCAAAAUAUGCUCUCUGGGUAUACAAUAUUAAAAACACUUUUUGUGCAACUACAUAACAUGGGGUUGGGUGGACACACUGAUAAUAACACCUGUAGCUACGAAAUGAAUAUAUAAUCCUGCAGUAACUGGUGUCAUCUUGCUAUUAAUAUUCAGUCUUAGUUGAAAAUGUUCCUGUGCUUUCAGAGGCUGUAGUUUGUGCAGUUUAACUGUGUAUUGAAUUGCACUGAUUUACAGAAUUUGAGCUGUAUUAAUCAAACACCACUAAGCUUUGUUGGUGCAUUAAUGUUGCAGAAGCAGAAUGGAUGCAGCAGUAUCAGUUCAGCGUAUCUCGGCAGUCACCAACAGGUUUCCAUAAUGGACUACAAAAAAGUAUACUGCCUGAAAAGAUGUGGACUGAAGUUGAUGUUGCCUACCUGUUUCACAUUACAUACAAGAAGUCCAUAUGAGCGACAGAAAUGGGAGGAGAGAGGGUGUGGAGAUGAUAUGCAGAGGAUGGAUUCAAACGCUGGCCCACUGUGGAGUGGAUGCAGCUGCUAUGUGUCCACAUGUCUACGCCCUGUGGUGGCAGAGAAAGUGGAUGGGUGCACGUCACACUAACUGGAUCACAACAUGUAAAAGCAUGUAAGUAAACAUAUAGCUACAAAGUUAAUGAAGACUGGUUGCUGUGUCAAUAAUUGUUUGCCUCGAAGGAAUGAACUUGACACUAGACGCCGCUCACAGGGCUUGAAUACAGUAACCGCACAGCCAACGCCGCCUUUCGCACACUGUCUUCUUACAUCACCGCCCGCAUCUUCCGCUGUCCCCCUUUUCCUUCACCGUUGUCUCGUCCCACUCUUUUCACGCUCUCCUCCUUUCAUUAGAGUUAAGUCCCUGAUUUGUAUUCCACGAUAACAGCCGAGAUUAAAGUUGGCAUUGACAAAAAAAACAUCAUUUACAUGAUGCAUUCACUGAUUAGGCUAAGCGUCCCUCUUAAUUGUGUUGUUUUGCACAUGGCGGGGCUCUCAUGCUGAUACUCGGUGGAUCUCGCUCAUCCCAUGCAAUCUCGCCAAUUCGCUUCAAUUUCCUCCCCCACUUCACUCAAGCGCCACACCUACCUCCUGCUGACAUAUACGGCAAGUUAGGGACUCGUAAGGCUGGAUUAGGGGCCCAGAAGUGUUAAUGGUGAAUUAUUUGUGAGUCACUUGAGGUCUAUCAACGGCAGCUACAUAAUAAAGAAGAUAUAGAACCAGGAGCACAGAGAUCCAUCUUUAUAUCUGUCGCUGCUGUUGUUGUUAUUUCGUGUCUGUCUGUCCCCUGUAGCCAUCGCCUCCUGUCUUAUCCUAAUCCAAUAGGGAGCAGGGUGCUGACAUAGUGGUGAAAGGCCACACUUGAGAUGUGAAACCGCACUAAAUGCAUUACAGGUGACUUCAGGGGGCGGAUGGGACACAAAGGGCACUCUUUCAUUACAUGGAUAAUAAAAACAGACAGACAACAACAAGUGGCUCUUCAGUGGCAGUUGGAAGACAUGCUGUUGGAGAAAUCCUGAUGCGGGAAAUGGUAUUUUUCUAAUUAAUGCCCCAGUUCUGAUGAAAAUAAAAUAAUGAAAAUAUU